rnacentral:tRNA from 1 species
AAGGAAUGGUUUAGUUUGAUAAUUCCAGUUCUGGGUACUGGUGGCAGGAGUUUGAAUCUCCUUUCCUUGA